rnacentral:rRNA from 1 species
CGGGGUGCACCAGGCGCGAAAACUUUACAAUGCUGGCAACAGCGAUAAGGGGACCUCGAGUGCCAGGAUACAAUCUUGGCUGUCGCGAUGCCUAAAAAGCAUUGCAUAGCAAGGGCCGGGCAAGACCGGUGCCAGCCGCCGCGGUAACACCGGCGGCUCGAGUGGUAACCGCUAUUAUUGGGUCUAAAGGGUCUGUAGCCGGCCGGAUAAGUCUUUUGGGAAAUCCAGCUGCUCAACAGUUGGGCUUUCAGAAGAUACUGUUCGGCUCGAGACCGGGAGAGGUGAGAGGUACUUCAGGGGUAGGGGUGAAAUCUUGUAAUCCUUGAAGGACCACCAGUGGCGAAGGCGUCUCACCAGAACGGAUCUGACGGCAAGGGACGAAAGCUAGGGGCACGAACCGGAUUAGAUACCCGGGUAGUCCUAGCCGUAAACGAUACUCGCUAGGUGUCAGCCACGGUGCGACCGUGGUUGGUGCCGUAGGGAAGCCGUGAAGCGAGCCACCUGGGAAGUACGGCCGCAAGGCUGAAACUUAAAGGAAUUGGCGGGGGAGCACAAGGGCGAAUUGCGG